CCUACGGGGGGCAGCAGUGGGGGAUAUUGCACAAUGGGGGAAACCCUGAUGCAGCGACGCCGCGUGAAUGAUGACGGUUUUCGGGUUGUAAACUCCUGUCGUAGGGGACGAUUAUGACGGUAUCUUGCAAAUAAGCACCGGCUAACUCCGUGCCAGCAGCCGCGGUAAUACGUAGGGUGCAAGCGUUGCCCGGAAUCACUGGGCGUAAAGGGUGCGUAGGCGGGAGGAUAAGUUGAAUGUGAAAUCUUUGGGCUAAACUCAGAGCUGCAUUUGAAACUGUUCUUCUUGAGUGAUGUAGAGGCAGGCGGAAUUCCUGGUGUAGGGGUGAAAUGCGUAGAUAUUAGGAGGAACACCAGUGGCGAAGGCGACCUGCUGGAACUUUACUGACGCUGAGGCUCGAAAGCGUGGGUAGCAAACAGGAUUAGAUACCCGUGUAGUC
rnacentral:rRNA from 1 species